rnacentral:lncRNA from 1 species
GUCCCGUGGUAUCGUGGCCUGCUUUUUGGAUGUGGCGAAAGCGUAUGACAGUGUUCCACACGAGCUGCUUCUCAGCCGCAUGCGAAGUAUCGAUAUGCCACCGCUUUGGAUAGGCACCCGCGCCGCCAAUGGAGUUCACGAGGAGCGCGAGAACGCACAACCUAGCGAGUAGAAGCAGCUAAAUCGGUCCAGGCAGUGACUUUUUUGAGGAGUCACGAACAUUUACAGCUAACAGAACUGCAUUUACAGCUACCCAGAGAGGAUUAUGGCCUCACCCAGGGAGCCUUCGUUGGAAACGUGCAUAAAAGCAGACGCUUGAGCGCGCGUGAUGUGUUCUGCGAGCGCCUCAUUUACUUCGUAUCCCUGGCGGCCGUUGGCGAAAAUACUGAGGCGGCAAAUAAGAACUGCAUCCUGCGAAGAAAGUAAUUAACCACACAAAUUGCUUCCUUCAAGAUGUAACUGAGUCAAGUUAAAAAUUACUGCUUUGAGUCAUUGAGCAAGUACCAAAAGAUUUGCCCAUUCAUCCUACAGAGCAUCCAAGAAGUUGCGUGCUACAUGCAUUGCCACAAAUCAGUUGCACCAAGUUCUUCAAAAGUUAUUGGUUUGUUAGCACUGUUUUGUAGCAGUUUAGUGUGUUAUGAAUUUUGUGACAGUGACGUCACCAUGUUUACUGACUGCUGCCUUUGAUUAGCUAUAUUGGAAAAAGUGAUAUCAGUUAUUUGUUGCUGGCCCUGUUAGUCUAUUGAAAUUGUGAAGAAGGGCAUGGCAGUGUUUAAGAUUCAGUCAUAACAAUAAAAGAAUUGUGCCUCUCCUUACAAAUCACUGGUUCAAGCCUUCUAGUUGUAAAUGCAAGUUCUUGUCUGUACAAGUCUGUUCAACAAUACUCAUGUUCAUGCAAGUGUAGCUGAGAAAAAU